rnacentral:rRNA from 1 species
GGGCCCGCACAAGCGGAGGAACAUGUGGUUUAAUUCGAAGCAACGCGAAGAACCUUACCAAGGCUUGACAUCCCAAUGACGUAUAUAGAGAUAUAUAUUCUUUUCGGAGCAUUGGAGACAGGUGGUGCAUGGUUGUCGUCAGCUCGUGUCGUGAGAUGUUGGGUUAAGUCCCGCAACGAGCGCAACCCUUAUCUUUAGUAGCCAGCAGUAAGAUGGGCACUCUAGAGAGACUGCCGUGGAUAACACGGAGGAAGGUGGGGAUGACGUCAAAUCAUCAUGCCCCUUAUGUCUUGGGCAACACACGUGCUACAAUGGGCGGAACAAAGUGAAGCAAAGCCGCGAGGUGGAGCAAAGCACAAAAACCGUUCUCAGUUCGGAUUGUAGUCUGCAACUCGACUACAUGAAGCUGGAAUCGCUAGUAAUCGCGAAUCAGAAUGUCG